UCGGGAAUUUUGGGCAAUGGGCGAAAGCCUGACCCAGCAACGCCGCGUGAAGGAUGAAGUAUUUCGGUAUGUAAACUUCGAAAGAAUAGGAAGAAUAAAUGACGGUACUAUUUAUAAGGUCCGGCUAACUACGUGCCAGCAGCCGCGGUAAUACGUAGGGACCAAGCGUUGUUCGGAUUUACUGGGCGUAAAGGGCGCGUAGGCGGCAAUUCAAGUCAUCUGUGAAAUCUCCGGGCUUAACUCGGAACGGUCAGAUGAUACUGCUUUGCUAGAGUGCAGAAGGGGCAAUCGGAAUUCUUGGUGUAGCGGUGAAAUGCGUAGAUAUCAAGAGGAACACCUGAGGUGAAGACGGGUUGCUGGGCUGACACUGACGCUGAGGCGCGAAAGCCAGGGGAGCAAACGGGAUUAGAUACCCAUGUAGUCCCUG
rnacentral:rRNA from 1 species